GUGCCCCGCCGCGGUAAUACCGGCAGCCCGAGUGAUGGCCGAUCUUAUUGGGCCUAAAGCGUCCGUAGCUGGCUACGCAAGUCCGUCGGGAAAUCCACUCGCCCAACGAGUGGGCGUCCGACGGAAACUGCAUAGCUUGGGACCGGAAGGCUCGAAGGGUACGUGCGGGGUAGGAGUGAAAUCCCAUAAUCCCGCACGGACCACCGAUGGCGAAAGCACUCUGAGAAGACGGCUUCGACAGUGAGGGACGAAAGCUCGGGUCUCAAACCGGAUUAGAUACCCGUGUAGUCC
rnacentral:rRNA from 1 species